UACGGGGGGUGCGAGCGUUGUCCGGAAUUACUGGGCGUAAAGCGUGCGCAGGCGGUUUUGUAAGCCAGAUGUGAAAUCCCCGGGCUUAACCUGGGAAUGGCAUUUGGGACUGCAAGGCUGGAGUGUGGCAGAGGAGACUGGAAUUCCUGGUGUAGCAGUGAAAUGCGUAGAUAUCAGGAGGAAUACCGAUGGCGAAGGCAGGUCUCUGGGCUGACACUGACGCUCAUGCACGAAAGCGUGGGGAGCAAACAGG
rnacentral:rRNA from 1 species